rnacentral:tRNA from 1 species
GUAUAUAUAAUUUAAAUAAAAUAUUAAAYUGUGACUUUAAUUAUGAGAGUUAAAAYCUCYCUAUAAACC